GGCGCUAUUUAGGGGUUGUCGCUGAACUAAUAAUUUCUAGGUUAGUACCCUGGUAGGAAUUUUCUUUCAGGUGCCUGGUUUGGUUGUGCACCUGUCUGCUAACAUCUAAAUUGCGAUGAAAACAAGCUUGUAUGUGAACUACUGUAUAUUGCAGACAUGUCGUCGACAAAAACAUCGUCUAAAAUACUGAAUUUCGGAAUGGUGUUUCUUCUAAGAUUGGAAAAUUUACACAUAGUAAAAAUUCUGUAAAAUCUAACCAUUGGGAAAUGCGCAUCUGAAGAUCUCAGCAAACCAGUGGCUAUAAUGUUGCUUUCUCAUUUUGUGCCAGUUUUUGCUGAAUGUCAAAAUUGUGAAAAAUCUAACCAUUGGAAAAUACACUUCUGAAGAUCUCAGCAAACCAGUAGACCAGGGGACCAGUGGCUAUAAUGUUGCUUUCUCGUUUUGUGCCCGUUUUUGCUGAAUGUGAAAAUUCUGAAGAUCUUGGCAAACCAACGUUCUCAUCCUGCUCAGCUCCAUGGCUAUGUUGCUU